rnacentral:misc_RNA from 1 species
AACGCAUCUUGCACCCUUUGGCCUUCCAAAGGGUAUACCUGUUUGAGUAUCAUUAAUAUCAUCAACAUAUUAAUUUAUAUAAUGUGUUUGGAUGCUGAAGGCAUUGCUGGCUUUUAUAGUUGGCUCCUUUCAAAUGUAUUAGCAGAAUUAUAUAUAACUGGCUUCAGUUUUGAUAAUUAAAUUUUAUCUAUGCUGUCGCUUGUUAUUUUUUUGUUCAGCUUAAAAUUGUCUUUUAGACUGUCUCCAAGGCAAUAAGAACCUAAAUUGAUCUCAAAUCAGGUAGGAUUACCCGCUGAACUUAA